AUUGAACGCUGGCGGCAGGCUUAACACAUGCAAGUCGAGCGGAGUGAUGGUGCUUGCACUAUCACUUAGCGGCGGACGGGUGAGUAAUGCUUAGGAAUCUGCCUAUUAGUGGGGGACAACAUCUCGAAAGGGAUGCUAAUACCGCAUACGUCCUACGGGAGAAAGCAGGGGAUCACUUGUGACCUUGCGCUAAUAGAUGAGCCUAAGUCGGAUUAGCUAGUUGGUGGGGUAAAGGCCUACCAAGGCGACGAUCUGUAGCGGGUCUGAGAGGAUGAUCCGCCACACUGGGACUGAGACACGGCCCAGACUCCUACGGGAGGCAGCAGUGGGGAAUAUUGGACAAUGGGGGGAACCCUGAUCCAGCCAUGCCGCGUGUGUGAAGAAGGCCUUAUGGUUGUAAAGCACUUUAAGCGAGGAGGAGGCUCUUUUGGUUAAUACCAAGAUGAGUGGACGUUACUCGCAGAAUAAGCACCGGCUAACUCUGUGCCAGCAGCCGCCGUAAGAC
rnacentral:rRNA from 1 species